rnacentral:rRNA from 1 species
UACGAACUGUGCGAACGUUAUUCGGAAUCACUGGGCUUACAGGGUGCGUAGGCGGCUUAGCAAGUCAGACGUGAAAUCCCUCGGCUUAACCGGGGAACUGCGUCUGAUACUGGAUGGCUUGAGAUUGGGAGAGGGAUGCGGAAUUCCAGGUGUAGCGGUGAAAUGCGUAGAUAUCGUAAGGAAAGACCAGUGGCGAAAGGCGGGUCUCUGGACAGUUCCUGACGCUGAGGCACGAAGGUCAGGGGAGCAAACGGG